UCCCGCGAACGCGAGUGGGAAAGGAGCAGGGGGUGGCGACCGCACCGAGGGCCUGAAGGUCCCCACGCAGGCUGCGCGGAGCCUUGCCCCCUACUCUUCAGGGCCGCCGCACUGAGAAGUAAGUGCCGCUACAAGGGCGUGCUGGAGCCGCCGCGGAGGCUGCUGGGAAGUGUAGUUCCGCCCGCCAGGGACUCCGGUUCUCAUGGCAACCGAGGCGGGAGCGGCGCAAACCUGCGUCGUCGUCAAGGAGAUGGCGUCCAGGCGGGGCAGUGACUGCGAGAUCCGGACUGCAAGCUGAGCCUUAUAGAGGAAGAUGGCACUUGGAUCAGCUGGAGUGGCCCCCCAGGCUGAACUACGCUCACCAUCUCAGCAUCAAGCUGCCAUAGCUCUGAACCGUGUCUGUGAGCCUCUGUGCUUUAUUUCUGUUUUUUGUGCAUCUGUUAGCAAGAUGUGUCCUAAGAUGAGGAAACUGAGGCCCAACAGGAAAGCCAUGCAUCCCGAGUGAACCUGUGCAGCCGGACUCGGGACACGACUAGGUCCAGGACCCCACCGAUCCAACCCUUCACCUCAGCCCUGCGGCCGCGGGAACACAGGGACCCCCCGCUCCCUCCCCAGAAGGGAGGCCCUCCACCCUAGGGGGCGCCCAGGCGCUCGCGCUUCCCUCCGGGAAAAUGAGUGGCCCUUUGGGAGCACAUACAGCCCUCCGAGCGGCCUCGGACCUGAAG